UACGUAGGGUGCGAGCGUUUGUCCGGAAUUAUUGGGCGUAAAGAGCUUGUAGGCGGUUUGUCGCGUCUGCCGUGAAAUUUCGAGGCUCAACCUCGAACUUGCGGUGGGUACGGGCAGACUAGAGUGUGGUAGGGGAGACUGGAAUUCCUGGUGUAGCGGUGAAAUGCGCAGAUAUCAGGAGGAACACCGGUGGCGAAGGCGGGUCUCUGGGCCGUAACUGACGCUGAGGAGCGAAAGCGUGGGGAGCGAACAGG
rnacentral:rRNA from 1 species